UACGAAGGGGGCUAGCGUUGCUCGGAUUGACUGGGCGUAAAGGGCGCGUAGGCGGUUCGUACAGUCAGACGUGAAAUUCCUGGGCUCAACCUGGGGGCUGCGUUUGAUACGUGCGGACUUGAGUGCGGAAGAGGGUCGUGGAAUUCCCAGUGUAGAGGUGAAAUUCGUAGAUAUUGGGAAGAACACCGGUGGCGAAGGCGGCGACCUGGUCCGAUACUGACGCUGAGGAGCGAAAGCCAGGGGAGCAAACGGG
rnacentral:rRNA from 1 species